UCCCAGUCACUGACAGUGCUAGGAGCUGUGCAGCCUCCCUCUACCUCUUUCCAGUCUCCUUCUGUGUCUCUCUAUCCCUCUGUCUGGGUUGUAGGAGGUGGUUGUUUCUCCUUGUUAGUGGUGGGGAGAAGAAGAGGAGGAUAGAGUCGUCGUUCUUUUUUUGCUUCCAGUCUGCUUCCAACCUGGCUUUCUGAUCUCUGGACGUCAGGCUGUCUGACACACACACACUGGAUGGAGAGAAUCGGCGUCAGUGGGUGGCUGCCAAGUCUCUCAAUGCUGUAAGAGAUUAAUACUGACUGAAGACGUGAGAGCAGAGAGCAAGAGAAGAAACAAAGGAGAGGCAGUCUGAGAGAAGUCAGAAUGACCAGAGUAGACCAGCUGGAUCAUCAGUAAUCCAGCUCCAGCUGGAAGAGAGUACACACAUACAGACAUACCUGCAGAGUUGUGAUUUGGACAUGAAUGGAAGGGCAGGAGGGAGAAGAUCAGUAAUCUCCAAUGCCAGGGACGUCAACUUUAACAGGAACAUGGUGUCAGACCAGUCCCCAGAGUCCCAGCCCUACACACGGGCAUCUCAUACCCACAGGAAGGCUGCUACGUUUGGCAAGCGCUCCAACUCCAUGCGCAGGAACCCCAAAGCAGAGGUGUCCAAACAGGGUUGGCUGUACAAGCAGGCAAGCAGUGGAGUCAAACAGUGGAACAAGAGGUGGUUUGUCCUGACUGACGGAUGCCUUUUCUAUUACAAAGACGAGAAGGAGGACGUAGUGUUGGGAAGUCUUCCACUGCUCAGCUUCCAGAUCGGGGUGCUGCAGCCGUCCGAUAACAUCGGCCGCAAGCACGCCUUUAAGGUGUGGUACGAGGAGGAGGAGGAGGAAGGAGACUUGAAGGGUGCCAUUGUGUUCUGUGUGCAGGCAGAGCACGCAGGCACGCGUACGUACUACUUCAGCGCUGAGAGCCAGGAGGAGCAGGAGCAGUGGGUGGCGGCCAUGAGCGAGGCCACGUGGGUCCAGCCACAGCCGACACAGAGGACGAACUCUGAGACCACGCCCACAGCAGAGCUCAGCCAUACCAUGGGGACCAGAGGACCCGACACACACUCACAGCAUCCCGACACACACUCACACACCAGCAAAGAAGAUAACCUCCACACCCCUACACAUCCACAAAUCAACGGGAUUGAUGACAUGGAAACCCCGCCCCCUUCCACCCCCCACUCUGAGCAAGACAUUUGUGGAGAAAAAGACAAGGUUGGAGACAGAGGAAGAGGCGGACCUUCCCCUGGGUCGUGUCCACUUCCUCUACCUCAUCACCAAGCCAAUGGCUGGAGCAACUACAGAGCACAUACCGACCCCAACCAUGCCAACGCCCCUCCGCCGGGUAGCCAUGGCAAUGUCUGCCCCCCGCAGUGUCCGGCGGAGGGUGGGGGUGGGCUGAGGGGUGGAGAGCAACCAGAGAAUGUGGUGUUGAGACGGGGCUUUGUGCCCAGGACUGCUCCUGAGAGGAUGGCCCAGAGGAAGAGCUCCAUGACCCAGCUGCAGCAGUGGGUGAACCAGCGCAGAGGCCUGGCCGCACACGAAGACAUGAACAGCCCCGCACGGUACUACACAGUGAACCGUGGCGUGCCUUCUGACUGUUACGGUGUCUACGGCGGGGGGCCUCCCUAUGUCGAGGAGUACCCCCUCUACCCUCCAGGGGUCCGCCCCGACAGCAUCUGCUCCGUGUCCGCUGUGAGCUACGACCACCUGCCCCCCCGCUGGGCCGAGGCAGAGAAGCAGCGCUCACUCCGGGACGGCCCUGCCCUCUACGGCCUGGCACCACAGUCACCCUGGGCCCAGCCCGGCUACUACCGGGGACCCAUGGACGCGGCACAGACCUCCCUGAGACGUCUGUCUAUCCAGCCCCGUUCCCGUUCGGUGCCCCGGUCCCCGUCUUCGUCCUCGGGGGGGCCGUACUCGCCAGGCCCCCACAGCUUUGCAUCCCCCGCCAGGUCCCCCUCGGCCAGGCUGGAUCAGCUACCUAGCAGGAUGAGGGAGGAGGGGAUCUAUGCAGACCCCUCUGUCUAUGGCUUGAGGAGGUCUCUCAGCUCCCCCAAGUAUGACUACCCUGGGGACAGGAUGUCUCUCAGCCAAGGACCAUACCACUAUAACUACCCCGCCUCCCCCUCUCUACACAGCAAAAUGGAGGACAUAUUAGACCUGCAACUCCAGAGAAAGCUGGAAUAUCUAGACCAACAGGUGCCUCCGUUCCACAAUGUCUACAGGGACCUUCAUCCAAUGUUGAAGUUCAACGAGAUUGAAACCAGUAAACUUCUGGGUCGUCUGUGUGAGCAAAACAGACUUCUGAAGGACCAGGAAGCUGUGGUCCACAGAUUGAGAAUGGACAAAGACUGUCUGGAGGGGGCGCUAGUGGCCACACAUCAGGAAAUGGAGAUGUACCCGGCGCAGCCUCUAGCCAGGGAGAAGCUGCUGCUGAAGAAGGAAUCCCUUCAGAACCAGCUCAUUAACAUCAGAGGAGAGCUCUCACAGGCCUCCAGUGCUAUGACAACCGCACGUAUGGAGUUUGAGGCCAUGGAGGAUGAAGCCAACGCCAUCCACGGAGACUUAUGGGAGCAGCUCAAUGCAGGAGGACAGAGUGAGUUGGUUCACAGACACAUCCAAAAGGAGUUUUGGAGGGUUCAGGAUGUGCUGGAGGGACUGCAUAAGACUAACCCGUCCAGAGGCACGGACACUGCCAAGCACCGAGUGGCCAGCGGGGUGUCUGGCUCCUUUAGCACCAGUAGUCCUGCCAGUCCCCUCAGCUCCAUCAGCCUCACCAGCCCUCUCAGCCCCUUCUCCCCGGUGCCUGGCUCCCAGGCAUCCCCAUCCAAACAGCUGGGCCCGGAGGAGAUUGGUCCCCCAAGGCCACCCCUCCCUAAAUCCUACUACCCCCUGGAGUCUCCCUCCGCCCUCCCCCCCUCCAUCCCCCCUCUGCCCUACGACAGCGCCACCUGGCUACGCAGCUUGGGCCUGGAAGACGGUUAUCCUGAUGAUGAAAGGUCCCGCAGCAGAAAGCACAAGUUUGGCCACCGCCAGGACCAGUUGCCUGAGGAACGGACCAGUAGCAGCGAUGUUCACGAAGUCGAUCAAGACAGGCAAUCCAGUAUUAAUAAAGUUGGGAUUGUCCCUCCAAGGACCAAGUCUCCAGUGGAGGUGGAUGUGUCCAGACGGAAUGGCAGGGUGCCAAACGGUGUCUCCAGGGAGCGUCCUAAGAGUGCAGUUUUUCCUGCGGAGGUAAAGUCCAAGAUGAGCGUACAGGAGCAGAAUGAGCGUAUCCGCAGAAACCAGAGCGGCUCUGUGAGGGACAAGAGACGCAGCCUGAACCUGUCAGGGGGCCAGUCCACUUCCAGCUACAGAGUGGUGCGUCGGCGGCUGACGGCCCACGAGGUGGACAUAAAGGAUUUAGAGGCAGCGGUGCGUGGUGAGGGAGUGGAGUCCCCCAGGGAGGAAAUCGCCAGGCUGAGGCGAUCGCAGAUUGAACCAGACCACAACGAUCUGGAUAUUAAUAACGAACUGUUGGCCCCAGACAAGGUUUUGAUCCCAGAACGGUACCUGGACGUAGAGGAGUAUGCUCCUCUGAGCCCAGAGGAGCAGAGGGAGAAACAGAAGAAGGUGGAAAGGAUCAAGACACUCAUUGCUAAGUCAAAUCUCCAGAACGUGGUGCCCUUAUUGGAUGGUCCGGCUGAGGGGAGGAGCCAGAGCCACCCAGAGCAGCAGCUACAGGAGCAGGAGAAGCGCAUCGAGAUCUCCUGCGCCCUAGCCGCUGAGGCCUCUCGACGCAGUCGCCUCCUCUCUGCCCAGUGUGCCCCCAGUCCCCCCACCUCCCCGACCAGCCUGGCCCCUCUCCCUUCCUCCGCUGACUUCUCUGACUCCGCCCACAUCAUGAAGGUGUGACUGUGUGAAGGCUGCCAGCAAGGAUGUGAAUCUUCAUGAUGUUCUUGCAGGCUCAAGCCCUAGCAGCAGUCAAGUUUGACGGAGCAUCCUUUUGAGAAAUCAGUAGGCAACAGACAACCCCAAAGAAACUGCUUUGUAUCACCAGACCAGUGUAACAGUGCAAAGGUCCAAUGACAAAAUACCAAGAAGAUGUACCAGGAAGCUAUGAGAAGGAGACGGCAACCCAAAAUGUGUGGCAAGACUGAAAGUUCACUCCUCCCAACUCUGGAGGCCACUGUAACUGUGUGCUUCACCUUUCAUUUGGUCAUUCACUGCACUCACAUGCUUGUUCUACUCAGUCUCAGCCUGUCACAAAGGAGUUUCUAUGAAUAGAGAACAGCAAUUCCAACAACAACAUUUCAGGUACACGAGACACAGGAAGGACUAAUCCAGAAAGUUGAGGAAGCUCUUGCGUGCUACGAUGUAGUGCUCCAUAGAACCCUGGUCAGUGAAACUAUUCUUCUUUGUCACCCAGCUCAGUGGGUGAAUCUGCUGAAGAGAGAUUAAAAACCCCAUUUGAGUUGAAAUUUGACUUUAUUUUUGACUAAAUGUUCCAGGAGGGAACGUUCUGUAUGUUGUGCAAGGUUCUUGGGUAAGGAGUCCAUGAACUUAUGUAGAAGCUGAUCCUCCAGAGAGGAUGGGAUAAGGAAAGCUAGAAAUUGGUAUAAGGAAAGUGAUCAGAUCAAUCAGAGGUUGUCUGCAAAGGGCUGAAGGACAGUGCAGAUGCUGGAUGAAUAGGCUGAAGAACAGUAUAGAUGCUGUACCAAUAGGGGUUUGAGGAAAAUACAAGCACAAGGGGAGGCUGUGUGGUGAAAUAGCCUCAUCUAUACAAACGCUUAGAAACAGCCCAUGAACUUUGAUCUGCUGAAGUUACUCCAAACUGACAGGAACAGAGUCCCCCAGGUCCAAGACCUCCUCCCCCCAUCCUACCCUUGUAACAUCUGGAUCACUGUGAUGCCUCCCUACAACCCCCAGUCACACACCACUCUCUUCUGUGUUGUCAGAUCCGGCCUGGUUGUGACUGUUUAACAUCAACAUCAUAAGUGCUCCCUCUAACAUUUAACAUCAAAGCCAUUGGACUUCUUACAAUCCUCUCACUGUUACCACUAACAGUACGUAAAAAUCUUAAUGUGGGUAAAAUACAUUUAGAUUUAUUAAUGUUUUUAUAGUAUGUGGGAAGACACCAGUGAAUAAAGUGACCUUAGAAUUGUAAGUCUGUUAGUUAAAAGCAUUUUAGUUGAAUGGGCUAGCAAUUUGCAUUUUACCAGUUGACAAGAGCCUAUAGUGUAUAUCAGCGAACAUAUCAUAUCCUACAUUAUCCUAAAAUAGUGUGCCAUAUGUUUUGAUCCAUGGUUGGGUGUAUUCUCAAUUUUGUAGUGCAGAUACAUGCAAUUCCAAGUGGUAAUGUAAUUUAACCUUUCCUGCAUUAAGAUUUGCAAUAUAAAUCCUAUUGAAUUGGUGAGACCCUAAAUACGUUAUCAAAACCAAUGUUUCACAAAAAUCUGAUAUCAACAAUAUAAUUGUAUUUGGGUCUAAGUUUGUCAUCAUUGUCAUAUGAUAAAGUUAACUUUUCAUAUUGUUGUAUUGUUGUUGUUUUUAGGUGUAAUGUUUUGGAAAGAUAUUCAUAAAAUCAUGACGUUUCAAAGGGUAUUAUUUUGCGAUUCUAUAAAUUGGACUGGAAACAUCUCCUGAGUUUAUUCCAUCCUAAUGCAUUUUUACUAUGUCAAGUGCAAGCUCAAGUUGGAGUUUUUAUUAACUUUGUAAAAACAGUAUUUUUCUAUUCAUUUAGAUUUAUUUUAUGGGAACACCCACUAAGCUUUGUAAACUUCGGUAUAAAGAAAACGUAUGUUGUCUUCUCAGGAUCAGGCAUCUGGAGGGACUGGUGAUUGGACAGAAAGACUCAAAUGUUUUAAAUCAACAUUCUAUGACCCCUUUUUUCAGUAGAAAGUAAGCCAUGGAGAAUUUCAGUUUCCUCCAGACUUCAUUCCCAAACAUUAAAGUAGCUGAUUCCUCCCUCUGAACUUUCAUGUUUUGUCUCUUGGUAAGGAAAAUCAUUUUCUCUGUCAUGUUCCAUCCUGGCGUCUGUAAAAGUGAACCCUUCUGCUGGUAAACCUCUAAAUUUGUCACCCCCUACUGUAGUUCCUAACUUUAUUAGUCAUGUCUUUCCCUCCCAUGUGCCAAACUGGCACACAAGCUUUUUAGUAUAAAAAUAAGGUUGACUCAUAAACAAGUUUUAAAAAAAUAUGGAGAAUGAAUGGGAAGGAAUUUGUUUUUACAAAGCAGUUAAAGGAUUUAACAAAGCAUAAAAUACAGUUUAAAGAAUACAGCUUAUACAGUAUAUAAUAUCUUUUGAAGUUUUUGUUUUAUUUAGUUUUUUUGUUAGUUUAGGGAAUCCUAAGGUCAAAAGAUGCAGUAAAUAUUUUUUUAGUAGCAUGGGUAUGUUAUGUCAAACUAAUUAUGUUUUCAGUGAAAAAUAUACAUUUUUAACACAUCAGGAAUGCGUUUUCCACAAUAGGGGAGAAAAAUAAGUAUUGCUGAUAUUUUUUUAAUGUAUUGCUUUUGAGCAUUGUCUUGAAGGCCUAGGUUUAUGGGGAUUUACAAUAUAAAGGUAGUUUUGAACAAUUGGUAUUGAAUGCGUUAAGAAAUGCAAAACAGCCAAAAAAGGAUUGUUCGAUAUUUGAUACUAAUGUAGCAUUAAUGAUAAUGAGAUUUAGCACAUUGGUCAAUGUACAUAUACUAAUUUCAACAACAUCUUACAGUUAACAUCUUGCUUCUUUGGGAAAAUACACAACUGCUUGAACUAUGCAAAUAUAUAUAUAAAAAAAUGGUAUGCUUGCUUUAGGAAUACCUUCUUGCAAUAAAGUGAAUGUAAACACAUUAUAUGCGUUUCUCUCAACUGUAGAUGGUUUCAGAAUUACCCAUCAGAGUUUGUAAAAGCAUCUUAAAAACUGUCUCACUCUCUUGAAUGAUCAUAUUGUUACAGUUUUAUUUUUAUCUUGUUAUUGAUAUUGAGUAUCACUGCCAAAAAUAAUUAUACUACUGAGGACCUUCGCUCCAUAUGCUCAUUGACAAGAAUAACUUUUGUCCUACCAUGUGUAUGUCUGGAUAAAUAAAGUUAAAAAAAAAACCUCA